rnacentral:rRNA from 1 species
UACGUACGAGGCGAGCGUUAUCCGGAAUUACUGGGCGUAAAGCGCACGUAGGCGGGUCUUUAAGUCGGGGGUGAAAUCCUGGAGCUCAACUCCAGAACUGCCUUCGAAACUGAAGAUCUUGAGUUCGGGAGAGGUGAGUGGAACUGCGAGUGUAGAGGUGAAAUUCGUAGAUAUUCGCAAGAACACCAGUGGCGAAGGCGGCUCUCUAGUACGGUACUGACGCUGAGACGCGAAAGCGUGGGGAGCGAACAGG